GACGAACGCUGGCGGCGUGCUUAACACAUGCAAGUCGAACGGAAAGGCCUGCUUUCCCUUGUGGAUUGCGGGUACUCGAGUGGCGAACGGGUGAGUAACACGUGAGUGAUCUGCCCCCAACUUGGGUAUAAGCCUGGGAAACUGGGUCUAAUUCCCGAUAGGACUGCAGGGUGGUGCCUGUGGUGGAAAACGAUUUUCUAGUGGUUGGGGAUGAGCUCGCGGCCUAUCAGCUUGUUGGUGGGGUAAUGGCCUACCAAGGCGGCGACGGGUAGCCGGCCUGAGAGGGUGGACGGCCAAAUUGGGACUGAGAUACGGCCCAGACUCCUACGGGAGGCAGCAGUGGGGAAUAUAGCACAAUGGGCGGAAGCCUGAUGCAGCGACGCCGCGUGGGGGAUGACGGCCUUCGGGUUGUAAACUCCUUUCGACCGCGAGGAAGCCACCUGGUUGGAAGGGUGGUGACGGUAGUGGUAGAAGAAGCACCGGCUAACUACGU
rnacentral:rRNA from 1 species